ensembl:snoRNA ZK546.18 ncRNA
AUGCACACAGAAAGUCGAGAUUGCCGGCUUCAAAGGCUUUAUCGUUGAUUACGUGUGCUAUAACAACGCCAUAGGUAUCAUUCUUCGUCUUCUUAGGCGCGGAACAUCUAAAUAUGGCUACAUUU